rnacentral:rRNA from 1 species
AAAACAUGUCUUUUUGAUAAAAAUUUAAAGUCAGGUCUGCUCACUGAAUUAUUUAAAGAGCCGCAGUAUAUUGACUGUGCAAAGGUAGCAUAAUCAAUAGUUUUUUAAUUGGAAACUAGAAUGAAAGAUUAGACGAAAAAUUAAUUUUCUUUGUUUUAAUAAAUUUAAUUUUAAAUUUAAGUGAAAAUGCUUAAAUAUAAUUAAAAGACGAGAAGACCCUAUAGAUUUUUAUUAUUGAAAUGAAUUUUUAAAUUUAAUUUAAUAAAAUAAUUUAAUUGGGGCGAUUUUAUAAUAUAAAUAACUUAAUUUUUUAAAACCAUAAAUAAUUGAAUAUUUGAUCUAAAAUUUUUAAAGAAAAGAUUAAAUUACCUUAGGGAUAACAGCGUAAUUUUAUUUAAGAGUUCAUAUCUAUAAUAAGUUUGCGACCUCGAUGUUGAAUUAAGAUAAUAUAUUGGAGUAGAAAUUAAUAUAAUUAGUCGUCGAG